AGGUUUUACCGAUUGAGUUGGUGUGGAACUCGGAGGAAAUAUUUGCUGAAUGGAGAGUCUUUGUAUUGUUGACAGUGAGAACAAAGUAAUAGUGCCCAAUAAACAUAGGGGAAUUCUUUUUGUCCUCAAUGACACAGAGUCCUGUCACUGGAGCCCACUUUCAGUUUUGAUGCCUUGAAGUACAACAAACUCUCACUCAAAACUUGCAAACUGGCAUCUCCAUUGACUGUACAGGUUACAUUUAUGACUUCACCAAAGUAGACAACUGGAGAAUUGGAAUGGAUUUCUGCAAUGAAAAGAUGUGAUUUGUGAAAAAAAGAUGUGACAAUUCAAUCCAGACUACCCAGUGGACCUGGCCCAAAGUUUUGGACAUUUCAGCCCAAACUCACAACAUGAUGAUUUGACCCACUAAUAAUUGAUUCGGCAUUGACGAUUCAACCCAGUCAGUUUGUCCCACUAAUUAUCCUAACUUUACCAACAACAAAAAUGAAAUAAAUUUGUAUUUUAUUUGAACCAAAUUGUCAUUAGUCUGAAUACCUAAAUAAAUGAUUUCCUCAUAGCUAGCAUUAUUUUGGAGAAUGCAUUUACUUUUGCAUUGAUGGCCAUUUCUUUUGC